rnacentral:rRNA from 1 species
CCGUAGCCCAAGAGAUCGGGAUAACACCUGGAAACAGAUGCUAAUACCGGAUAAUAACAGAUGAUGCCUAUCAACUGUUUAAAAGAUGGUUCUGCUAUCACUCUUGGAUGGACCUGCGGUGCAUUAGCUAGUUGGUAGGGUAACGGCCUACCAAGGCGAUGAUGCAUAGCCGAGUUGAGAGACUGAUCGGCCACAUUGGGACUGAGACACGGCCCAAACUCCUACGGGAGGCAGCAGAG